rnacentral:rRNA from 1 species
GAUGAACGCUGGCGGCGUGCCUAAUACAUGCAAGUCGAGCGAACGGACGAGAAGCUUGCUUUUCUGAUGUUAGCGGCGGACGGGUGAGUAACACGUGGAUAACCUACCUAUAAGACUGGGAUAACCUCGGGAAACCGGAGCUAAUACCGGAUAAUAUUUUGAACCGCAUGGUUCAAAAGUGAAAGACGGUCUUGCUGUCACUUAUAGAUGGAUCCGCGCUGCAUUAGCUAGUUGGUAAGGUAACGGCUUACCAAGGCAACGAUGCAUAGCCGACCUGAAAGGGAGGAUGCUCAGACGGGAUGUGAGAAUGAUCACAGACACUGAGGGGGAGACACAGUCGAGAAUCUUACGCGAGGGGGGAGAGGGUGACAGAGGACAGUGGGGGGAGUGCUGAAGGAGUACGGCUGGUUAAGUUAUGUUGUCAGGGGGGUAGAUAUGUUUAAUUAACUGUGAACAUAUUGACGGUACCGGGAGAAUAAGCCACGGCUAACUACGUG